rnacentral:rRNA from 1 species
CAGCGGGUUUACGACCUCGAUGUUGGAUCAGGGUAUCCUAGUGGUGCAGCCGCUACUAACGGUUCGUUUGUUCAACGAUUAAAACCCUACGUGAUCUGAGUUCAGACCGGAGUAAUCCAGGUCGGUUUCUAUCUAUAAAGAGCUUUUUCCAGUACGAAAGGGSCGAAAAAGCAUGGCCUAUGUCCCGUACAAGCCAUAUAUAGUAAUUUAUGACUAAAACUUAAUAAAUACUUUAUCUCCCCCCUCCCUCAAGACAAGAGC